GUCUACAUCCAUACUACCCUGAACGUGCCUGAUCUCAUCUGAUCUCUGAAGUUAAGCAGGUCGGGCCUGGUUAGUACUUGGAUAGGAGAAAUCCUGAAAAAAAUCUAAUUGAAUGAUUAGAUU
rnacentral:rRNA from 1 species